rnacentral:sRNA from 1 species
GCCAGGCACAGUGGUGCAUGCCUGUAAUCCCAGCAGCUCCGGAGGCUGAGGCAGGAGGAUCACAAGUUCAAAGCCAGCCUCAGAAACAGCAAGGUGCUAAGCAACUCAGUGAGAUCCUGUCUCUA